GGCUUACACUUUAUAUUUUCUAGUAAAACUCAUUUCCCCACAAAUUGUUAUGUCAUCCAUUAAUAUUACAAAUACAACUAUAUUAGUUUAUUGCACACUUAUAGUAAGUUUCACACCAAAAAUUUAAUUCAAUAGUUCACUUCAUGUAAAGAUAGUAUGACCACUGUUUUCAUGCAAUGUAAGAUUUUUUUUAAAGAUUUAUUUUGUAUCUCGUAAAAUACUGAGACUGUUCCGGGAAAAAAAGAACUAUUCCCGCUGUACUGGAUAUGUUUCUGAUGCAUAAGCAAGCACCACACUAUUUGUCAGGAACCAAUGAUGCAGGCGAUAUCAGAUAUAAAGCAGUGUAUAUAUGUUUUACAAAGGAUAGUUUACAUCCCCAUUGGUACUUGGUUUCUCAUAUGUAUCAAAUGUAUUGAAAGGCAAGAUCUUCAUAGAAGAAUUGUUAAAAGAGACUUAUCUGGUGCACAGGCGUUUUGAAAAUAUUAUUAAAAAUUCCACAUCCGCUUCUGCAAAUAUUAAUUUCCAAGUAAUGAUUGGGUUAUGAUAAUCUUUUAAAAGGUUAGUUGUUAUCAAUCAAGAAAGUGAAUAAAAAUUGGAAUUGAACUUGACAACUCUAGAAAUGAUUUGUACACGUACUGCCUUUGCAACCUCUCUUCUCUAACAUUAUCACUCAAUAAAUAAAGAAGAAGAAAAAC
rnacentral:lncRNA from 1 species